UACGUAGGGGGCAAGCGUUGUCCGGAAUCAUUGGGCGUAAAGAGCGUGUAGGCGGCCCGAUAAGUCCGCUGUGAAAGUCGGGGGCUCAACCCUGGAAAGCCGGUGGAUACUGUCGGGCUAGAGUCCGGAAGAGGCGAGUGGAAUUCCUGGUGUAGCGGUGGAAUGCGCAGAUAUCAGGAGGAACACCGAUGGCGAAGGCAGCUCGCUGGGACGGUACUGACGCUGAGGCGCGAAAGCGUGGGGAGCGAACAGG
rnacentral:rRNA from 1 species